CAGCAGCCGCGGUAAUACGUAGGUGGCAAGCGUUGUCCGGAAUUAUUGGGCGUAAAGGGCUCGCAGGCGGUUUCUUAAGUCUGAUGUGAAAGCCCCCGGCUCAACCGGGGAGGGUCAUUGGAAACUGGGAAACUUGAGUGCAGAAGAGGAGAGUGGAAUUCCACGUGUAGCGGUGAAAUGCGUAGAGAUGUGGAGGAACACCAGUGGCGAAGGCGACUCUCUGGUCUGUAACUGACGCUGAGGAGCGAAAGCGUGGGGAGCGAACAGGAUUAGAUACCCGAGUAGUCCCUGUCUCUUAUAA
rnacentral:rRNA from 1 species